UGGGGUAUAUUGGACAAUGGGCGAAAGCCUGAUCCAGCCAUGCCGCGUGUGUGAAGAAGGUCUUCGGAUUGUAAAGCACUUUAAGGUGGGAGGAAGGGCAGUAAGCGAAUACCUUGCUGUUUUGACGUUACCGACAGAAUAAGCACCGGCUAACUCUGUGCCAGCAGCCGCGGUAAUACAGAGGGUGCAAGCGUUAAUCGGAAUUACUGGGCGUAAAGCGCGCGUAGGUGGUUCGUUAAGUUGAAUGUGAAAGCCCCGGGCUCAACCUGGGAACUGCAUCCAAAGCUGGCGAGCUAGAGUAGGGCAGGGGGUGGUGGAAUUUCCUGUGUAGCGGUGAAAUGCGUAGAUAUAGGAAGGAACACCAGUGGCGAAGGCGACCACCUGGGCUCAUACUGACCCUGAGGUGCGAAAGCGUGGGGAGCAAACAGG
rnacentral:rRNA from 1 species